rnacentral:rRNA from 1 species
UCCAGACUCCUACGGGAGGCAGCAGUGGGGGAUAUUGCACAAUGGGGGGAACCCUGAUGCAGCGACGCCGCGUGGAGGAAGAAGUAUCUCGGUAUGUAAACUCCUAUCAGCAGGGAAGAAAGAAGACGGUACCUGACUAAGAAGCCCCGGCUAACUACGUGCCAGCAGCCGCGGUAAUACGUAGGGGGCAAGCGUUAUCCGGAUUUACUGGGUGUAAAGGGAGCGUAGACGGCAGUGCAAGUCCGGAGUGAAAGCCCGGGGCUCAACCCUGGGACUGCUCUGGAAACUGUAAAGCUGGAGUGCGGGAGGGGCAGGCGGAAUUCCUGGUGUAGCGGUGAAAUGCGUAGAUAUCAGGAGGAACACCGGCGGCGAAGGCGGCCUGCUGGACCGUAACUGACGUUGAGGCUCGAAAGCGUGGGGAGCAAACAGGAUUAGAUACCCGAGUA